UGCCCAGAGCGCCCUUCACUGCGUCCUCCACCAUGUCUCCUGCAACACAACCACAAACAUCCAGUUUUACCCUCAGAGGUUCUUCUCCUGGUCUGCAGACAUGAAGAUCGGGUCGCUCUGUGCCAGCCACAUGGACGACGCCAUCCCCACCAGAACAGUGACAUGCUUCCCAAAGAACAUGUAAUAUAGGAUCAAUAAAGUAUUUCUGACUUUGAAAUAAACUGGAGAGGAAACAUCUACAUGUGAAGAACUGACCUGAGGAAGGAGAAGCAUCACCUGACUGAAUGUUUCCAGUGUUUCUAACGGUUGUUAAAUCAUUAUUUGAUGUUGGAUUCGCUGCAGCAGUUCAUUGAAAUAAAUCUGUUUUUAUGGAGA